AUGCUCUCUCUAGCAGCACAUAUACUAAAAUUGGAAUGAUACAGAGAAGAUUAGCAUGGCCCCUGCACAAGGAUGACACGUAACUUUGUGAAGCAGUCCAUAUUUAA
rnacentral:snRNA from 1 species